ensembl:snRNA U6 U6 spliceosomal RNA
ACGCUCGCUUCAACAGCACAUAUACUAACGUUGGAAUGAUACAGAGAAGAUUAGCAUGGCCCCUGGACAAGGAUGACAUGCAAAUUCAUAGUGUUCCAUAGUUUU